CGGAGGUUUGCGGGAAGGUUUCGGGAUGGGCGCUUUGCUGUGCAUUUCCCUCCUGCUCCGAGCCUUUCUCGUUAGCCGUGAGCCGGUGAGGGAACGAGCAGGCCGUGCACUGACCGUUCAUCCGAAGGGGUGUGUCCCCCUCUCUCCCCAGGUUCCGAGGAAACCGAGCCCAGCCUCGUGCCCAUCUAUGCACUUGUGGUCCUGGGGACCCUCAUCACUACCCUGAUCCUCGGCUGCCUUUUGAAAAGGUUCCUCGCGUCAGAGAGCCUCUUCCCACCGAUUCCGCACAUCAAAGACAAAUGGAACGAUACCCAUCAGCCUGACCACCAGGUCACCUGGGAGAACUUCACCUUGGACACGGAAAAAGGUGACAACGAAGAGAUCCUCACUGUGGAAGAAGUCACAGUGGUCCUGGCAAGCAAGUGAACUGCAUGGACUCUUCCAGCCCCGGAACAAUCUGGAAGCUUUUUUUUUUUUUUUAAUUAUUAUUAUUGUUGUUUUGAGCCAUUAUUUAUAUAGUGUUCUAUUUUUUUACUUUAAAAGAAUGUGAUAUUUUGCAAAGAUGCUUGUAGUCGGGGGGAUUGUUGAAUGCCCUUGGAUCCUGAACCCGUGAUGCACCUGCUUCUCCCCCAGGGAAACAAAGAAUUCUCCCUUGCAUGAUGGCGGCUCAGGCGCUCGCCUGCCAGGAGCCAGUGGGGCUGGGACGUGGGUCUCUGGCGUGUCUGCUGUUGCCGUGGGAACAUUGCCUUCCCCCUGUUUCUCCACCAGCUGCAGCUCAGCCCCAUAUGGGGGCCGUCUGGGGGUCUUGAAUAGUUGUCUCUGUUGCAAAGUCCCAUUUGCCACCUAAUGUGACAUGUUCUCAGGCUCCAGGAAUCGGGGUGUGGACAUCUUUGGGGACAUUGUUCCAUCCACCACGUGGGGAUCAGGACGUGGACACCUUUGGGGAGAUUAUUCUGUGCACCACUCAGGAAUCGGGUUGCAUCUACCACACGGGGAUCAGGAUGUAGACGUCUCUGGGGACAUUAUUCUGUGCACCACAUGCAGACGUGUUUGAGGAUGUUGCUCCAUCCACCACACGUGGAUCGGGAUGUGGACAUCUUCGUCUGCAGGCAUGGGCAGGGAUCAGAGGGGUCUUCUCGCAAGGAUCCUGAAACCAACUCUGCACCUUGACCUUUGAGACACGGCCACCCCCGUGAAGAUCGUCCGAUGGCCUGACAGGAGCUGUGACCUCUCCUGGGUGUUCAGCGUGGGCUCCCCGAGUGUGUACUAGGUGGUUCCAGCUUGCCCCUGCCUCGCAGGUUCCGACCAGCCCUUCCCAUGAGUCCUGUCCACCUGUCCGUCCAUAAGAUCAUGCACAUGAUGCAGGAAACCUGUUUCCCUUCCUCCAUGUCUAUGAAACACCAUCACGCCUUCACACGUGGGGGCGUCCCUUCAGGCCAAGAAUUGUCCGUGGAAAGUACAUGCUGCCCAGAGUCCUGAGGGACCAACCUGGCCUCCAGGAUGACAGAUGCCAGCCCAACGGAGGCCGACAGCAGAGGACAGGACCUCCAUGUGGCAGGACUACGGCUGGCCGCCCAAGGAGCCCAUGCAGGAGUGUGAGGGGUAGAAGCAUGGAUGGCAGCAUUAAGGCACUUUGAAAUUUUGCCCUGGAGCGGCCCAGAUGGGACCAGAAGAUUCUAUGCACAGAAAACAAAAAACCGGGUUUCUGUGAACAGAACUAUCCACCGGCAAACAAUGGAUUCGGGAAAAUCUAAAUCACAGUGUGAAGUAGACACAUUUUAUAUUUAGCCUUUCCACUUUCUAGUUCCUGCUUUCCUUCCCCGUUCUGCCUCCCAUGACGCCCUCCCCUCUAACCCUUAACGUCUGUGAAAGAGUGACUUCCUGCAUUUA